GUCCUCCAUAGGAGGGCUAUAUUGAGCAGAUUCUUUUUGGUAUUGGUUGGUGGAACCGGAGCGUGCUCCAUCCACUCCAUGCAUUGACCUGGUAUUGCAGUGCUUCCAGGACCGGUGC
rnacentral:snRNA from 1 species